AAAAUCAUAUCAUGAGUACUAUAUAAUGAAGUUGAAGUUUGCUAUACAUAUUGCGAGAACAAACAAUAAUAGAGUUCUUGGAUAAAAAAUUCACAAAAAAAUGGCAGGACACAUUUCCCAAUAUUUUCUCUUAGGAAUUUUAUGCAUUGCGUUGGUUCUAGCUUCAGGAUCAAAAAUACCAAGUUUGAGUGAAUGCGUUGUUCCUACGCCUUGUGUUAACCCUAAUAGUUGCAACGCAGAGUGCAGCACAUCGGGGUAUCAAAGAGGAGUAUGCCUUUACUUUCCUCCUCAGCAUUCAUGGUUAUGUUGUUGUGUGUAAUGAAAUAAAUUACAUUAUUAUAAAUAAGAAACAUCUUCCUCCAAAGCUUUUAUUUAUAUAUGUUUGAAGAAUAUAUAUCAAGUAUUGGCAUAAGAAUAAGUGGAGAACUUGAAAGUAUGUGGCCAAGCUCAAUGUGAAAUAAAGAAAGAGAUAGACUUGUGCAACUUAAACACAGAAUAAUGUUUUGGAUCAAUAAUGUGUUUUCGUCUUGUAUGAAUGAUAUAUCUUGAAAUAAUAUCUUUGUAUGUGUAUGUGUAAAUCAGUUGAAAACCAAUGAAGAGUUAUUUAUUAUUUUGCAACA